rnacentral:rRNA from 1 species
ACUCACGCUGGCGGCGUGCUUAACCCAUGCAAGUCGAACGGAAAGGCCCUGCUUUUGUGGGGUGCUCGAGUGGCGAACGGGUGAGUAACACGUGAGUAACCUGCCCUUGACUUUGGGAUAACUUCAGGAAACUGGGGCUAAUACCGGAUAGGAGCUCCUGCUGCAUGGUGGGGGUUGGAAAGUUUCGGCGGUUGGGGAUGGACUCGCGGCUUAUCAGCUUGUUGGUGGGGUAGUGGCUUACCAAGGCUUUGACGGGUAGCCGGCCUGAGAGGGUGACCGGCCACAUUGGGACUGAGAUACGGCCCAGACUCCUACGGGAGGCAGCAGUGGGGAAUAUUGCACAAUGGGCGGAAGCCUGAUGCAGCAACGCCGCGUGCGGGAUGACGGCCUUCGGGUUGUAAACCGCUUUCGCCUGUGACGAAGCGUGAGUGACGGUAAUGGGUAAAGAAGCACCGGCUAACUACGUG